rnacentral:rRNA from 1 species
UACGAAGGGGGCUAGCGUUGCUCGGAAUUACUGGGCGUAAAGCGCACGUAGGCGGAUUGUUAAGUCGGGGGUGAAAUCCUGGAGCUCAACUCCAGAACUGCCUUCGAUACUGGCGAUCUCGAGUUCGGGAGAGGUGAGUGGAACUGCGAGUGUAGAGGUGAAAUGCGUAGAUAUUCGCAAGAACACCAGUGGCGAAGGCGGCUCACUGGCCCGAUACUGACGCUGAGGUGCGAAAGCGUGGGGAGCAAACAGG